UUUGGACUUUCUAAAGCUUGGUUUUCAAGAUUUCUUCAAGAUUGAGAUUUGAGCUUGGAUUGAAGUGUGGAGAUAGGAGGAGAGGUGGUUGUCCUAGGGUUUGAAGAUUUGGGCAAGGUUGAUUGGGCUUGGAAGAGUUGUGGUGUUUGGCCAAAACGAGGUGAUAUAGGUACUAGCGCUAGUGCUCCGACUACGGAUCAGCAGGGACGAGCGUGAUG